UCUGGCAAUGAUGGCGAAGAGGUCACACCCGUUCCCAUUCCGAACACGGAAGUUAAGUUCUUCAGCGCCGAUGGUAGUUGGGGGUUUCCCCCUGUGAGAGUAGGACGUUGCCAGGC
rnacentral:rRNA from 31 species